GACGAACGCUGGCGGCGUGCUUAACACAUGCAAGUCGAGCGGUAAGGCCCUUCGGGGUACACGAGCGGCGAACGGGUGAGUAACACGUGGGUGACCUGCCUCUAGCUCUGGGAUAAGCCUGGGAAACUGGGUCUAAUACCGGAUAUGACUCCACGGCGCAUGUUGUGGGGUGGAAAGCCUUGUGUGGCUAGAGAUGGGCCCGCGGCUAUCAGCUUGUUGGUGGGGUGANGGCCUACCAAGGCGACGACGGGUAGCCGCCUGAGAGGGCCGACCGGCCACACUGGGACUGAGACACGGCCCAGACUCCUACGGGAGGCAGCAGUGGGGAAUCUUGCGCAAUGGG
rnacentral:rRNA from 1 species